rnacentral:rRNA from 1 species
AGAGUUUGAUCCUGGCUCAGGAUGAACGCUAGCGACAGGCCUAACACAUGCAAGUCGAGGGGCAGCAUUUUUGAAGCUUGCUUCAAAAGAUGGCGACCGGCGCACGGGUGAGUAACGCGUAUGGAACCAACCCGCAACAGGGGGAUAACCCGGAGAAAUCCGGACUAAUACCGCAUGGUACUCUUUGCACAGAAGUGUGAAGAUUUAAAGAUGCGAAUCGGUUGCGGACGGUCAUGCGUUCCAUUAGCUAGUUGGCGGGGUAACGGCCCACCAAGGCGACGAUGGAUAGGGGUUCUGAGAGGAAGGUCCCCCACACUGGUACUGAGACACGGACCAGACUCCUACGGGAGGCAGCAGUGAGGAAUAUUGGUCAAUGGGCGAGAGCCUGAACCAGCCAAGUCGCGUGAGGGAAGACGGCCCUAUGGGUUGUAAACCUCUUUUAGAUGGGAGUAAAGUGUUCUACGCGUAGGAUAUUGCAAGUACCAUCAGAAUAAGCAUCGGCUAAUUCCGUGCCAGCAGCCGCGGUAAUACGGAAGAUGCGAGCGUUAUCCGGAUUUAUUGGGUUUAAAGGGUGCGUAGGCGGGUGAUUAAGUCAGCGGUGAAAUGCGUCAGCUUAACUGGCGAACUGCCAUUGAAACUGGUUACCUUGAGUGUAGCGGAAGUAUGCGGAAUGCGUGGUGUAGCGGUGAAAUGCAUAGAUAUCACGCAGAACUCCGAUUGCGAAGGCAGCAUACCAUACUAUAACUGACGCUGAAGCACGAAAGCGUGGGUAUCGAACAGGAUUAGAUACCCUGGUAGUCCACGCAGUAAACGAUGAAUACUCACCGUUUGCGAUAUAAUGUAAGCGGUAAAGCGAAAGCGUUAAGUAUUCCACCUGGGGAG